UUGAAGGUUGGGUAACACUAACUGGAGGACCGAACCGACUAAUGUUGAAAAAUUAGCGGAUGACUUGUGGCUGGGGGUGAAAGGCCAAUCAAACCGGGAGAUAGCUGGUUCUCCCCGAAAGCUAUUUAGGUAGCGCCUCGUGAAUUCAUCUUCGGGGGUAGAGCACUGUUUCGGCUAGGGGGUCAUCCCGACUUACCAACCCGAUGCAAACUACGAAUACCGAAGAAUGUUAUCACGGGAGACACACGGCGGGUGCUAACGUCCGUCGUGAAGAGGGAAACAACCCAGA
rnacentral:rRNA from 1 species